AUGGUCAUAUUAUGUUGAAACAUUGGUUCCCAUAUGAUCACCAAAGUUAAGCAAUGUCAAAGCCUGGUCAGUACCUAGUUGGGUGACCACUUUGGAAUACCAGGUGCUA